GACUUAGCCUCGGCCUGUAAAUAGCAUGCUAACAAUCAAUACAACAAUCCAUAAAGAUAGGUAAACAAUUUCAAUAUUUCUAAUGUUAACAGGGCAACAAAUGCUGUCUAAUCAGGAUUGGAAAAUCAGAGUGGGAAUGAUAAUAAGGUACGAUACUGUUACUUGUGGUUCAAUUUCUUAAAUAGUGGCCACAGAUUCAGAAAUGGAUAUUGAAUUAGGGCCUACUGAUGUGGAAAAUCAUGCCAUGCCGCUUGUAAGACUUGUUGUCGUGUGUUUUUUUCAAUAAAUUCAGCUUGUUCAUAAAAUUAAAAAAAAAAAUCUUUAUAAGAAAUUUUAUGUAAAUCUACCUUCAUCUGCUCUUGGUCAGAUGAGACCACAAAUUUGUCUGCACCAAGCAAAGUUAGAGCUUCCUCUUUCUUGGAUAUGCUAGUGCUGAGAACAGUCACAUUCAACCCAAACGCCUUCCCAAACUUCACUGCCAUGUGACCAAGACCUCCAAGUCCAAUCACUCCCAGAGAUUUACCAGGUUGGUUCAUCUUGUGGCGUAUCAUG